rnacentral:rRNA from 1 species
AUUGAACGCUGGCGGCAUGCCUAAUACAUGCAAGUCGAACGAGUGGCGGACGGGUGAGUAAUGUCUGGGAAACUGCCUGAUGGAGGGGGAUAACUACUGGAAACGGUAGCUAAUCCCGCAUACCAUCGGAUGUGCCCAGAUGUGAUUAGCUAGUAGGUGGGGUAGAGGCUCACCUAGGCGACGAUCCCUAGCUGGUCUGAGAGGAAGAACAGCCACACUGGACCGGAGACAGGGUCCAGAUUCCUACGGGAGGCACAAGUGGGAAAUAUUGGACAAUGGGGGAAAGCCGGAUGCAGCCAGGCCGCGUGUAGGAAGAGGGCCUUCGGGUUGUAAAGUACUUUCAGCGGGGAGACGUUACCCGCAGAAGAAGCACCGGCUAACUCCGUGCCAGCAGCCGCGGUAAUUC